rnacentral:tRNA from 1 species
GCCGGAGUGGCGGAAUUGGCAGACGCGCUGGACUCAAAAUCCAGUCCGAAUCACUUCGGGUGUGGGUUCGACUCCCUCCUCCGGCACCA